ACCUGGGGAGUACGUCCGCAAGGAUGAAACUCAAAGGAAUUGACGGGGGCCCGCACAAGCGGUGGAUUAUGUGGUUUAAUUCGAUGAUACGCGAGGAACCUUACCAAGACUUAAAUGGGAACUGAUCGGUUUAGAAAUAGACCUUCCUUCGGGCAGUUUUCAAGGUGCUGCAUGGUUGUCGUCAGCUCGUGCCGUGAGGUGUUAGGUUAAGUCCUGCAACGAGCGCAACCCCUGUCACUAGUUGCUAACAUUCAGUUGAGGACUCUAGUGAGACUGCCUACGCAAGUAGAGAGGAAGGUGGGGAUGACGUCAAAUCAUCACGGCCCUUACGUCUUGGGCCACACACGUAAUACAAUGGCCGGUACAGAGGGCAGCUACACAGCGAUGUGAUGCAAAUCUCGAAAGCCGGUCUCAGUUCGGAUUGGAGUCUGCAACUCGACUCUAUGAAGCUGGAAUCGCUAGUAAUCGCGCAUCAGCCAUGGCGCGGUGAAUACGUUCCCGGGCCUUGUACACACCGCCCGUCAAGCCAUGGAAGUUUGGGGUACCUGAAGUCGGUGACCGUAAAAGGAGCUGCCUAGGGUAAAACAAGUAACUAGGGCU
rnacentral:rRNA from 1 species